UGUUAUUUGAAUCAGACGACU
rnacentral:piRNA from 1 species